UACGUAGGGGGCAAGCGUUGUCCGGAUUUAUUGGGCGUAAAGCGCGUGUAGGCGGCCUGGUAGGUCUGCUGUGAAAACUCGAGGCUCAACCUCGAGAUGUCGGCGGAAACCCUCUGGCUAGAGUCCGGAAGAGGAGAGUGGAAUUCCCGGUGUAGCGGUGAAAUGCGCAGAUAUCGGGAAGAACACCCGUGGCGAAGGCGGCUCUCUGGGACGGUACUGACGCUGAGACGCGAAAGCGUGAGGAGCAAACAGG
rnacentral:rRNA from 1 species